AUACAGAGGGUGCAAGCGUUAAUCGGAUUUACUGGGCGUAAAGCGCGCGUAGGUGGCUAAUUAAGUCAAAUGUGAAAUCCCCGAGCUUAACUUGGGAAUUGCAUUCGAUACUGGUUAGCUAGAGUAUGGGAGAGGAUGGUAGAAUUCCAGGUGUAGCGGUGAAAUGCGUAGAGAUCUGGAGGAAUACCGAUGGCGAAGGCAGCCAUUUGGCCUAAUACUGACACGGAGGUGCGAAAGCAUGGGGAGCAAACAGGAUUAGAUACCCUGGUAGUCCAUGCCGUAAACGAUGUCUACUAGCCGUUGGGGCCCUUGAGGCUUUAGUGGCGCAGCUAACGCGAUAAGUAGACCGCCUGGGGAGUACGGUCGCAAGACUAAAACUCAAAUGAAUUGACGGGG
rnacentral:rRNA from 1 species